GGCGGCAGGUCUUAGGCAUGCAAGUCGAACGGAUGACAAGGGAGCUUGCUUCCUGAAGUCAGUGGCGCACGAGUGAGUAACGCGUGGGAAACUGCCCUUCACUGGGGAAUAACGUUUGGAAACGAACGCUAAUACCGCAUACGCCCGCAAGGGGAAAGAUUUAUCGGUGAUGGAUGUGCCCGCGUUGGAUUAGCUAGUUGGUGGGGUAAUGGCCUACCAAGGCGAUGAUCCAUAGCUGGUCUGAGAGGACGAUCAGCCACGCUGGAACUGAGACACGGUCCAGACUCCUACGGGAGGCAGCAGCUAAGAAUAUUGGGCAACGGAGGAAACUCUGACCCAGCCAUUGCCGCGUGAAUGAAGAAGGCCUUCGGGUUGUAAAGUUCUUUUAGUCAUGAAGAUGAUGACAGUAGUGACAGAAAAAGCACCGGCUAACUUCGUGCCAGCAGCAGC
rnacentral:rRNA from 1 species